GACAUAGGUGGCGAACGUUAUCCGGAUUUAUUGGGCGUAAAGGAUGCGUAGAUGGUAGAAUAAGUUAUUGGUAGAAGUCGAGCUCAACUUGAUGGAAGCUGAUAAUACUGUUCUGCUGGAGGACAGGAGAGGUUAGCGGAACUCUAUGCGUAGGGGUGAAAUGCGUAGAUAUCGUUUGGAACGCCAAUGGUGAAAACAGGUUGCUGGGAGUGUGCUGGCGCUGAGACACGAAAGCCAGGGGAGCGAACGGG
rnacentral:rRNA from 1 species